ensembl:lncRNA
AGGAACUGAACUCAGUCAGACCCAUGGGAAGAGAAAUGCACUCUUAACCGGGGUCAGAGGCUAGGGUCCCUGGAGAAAGCAUCUGGGAAGACACUCAAGAAAAUCAUGCUUGGAUCUGAAAUGGGGGUCCCACUCUGCCUCCAGAGCCAGCUCCUCAGGGAGCUCAAACUGCACGUGACAACUGACUAACACGUAUCACUGUCUUCUGUUACAGAGGGACAGAAAGGCCACAGAAAAGUAAGAACGAGUUUCUGCUUCAUAGCAGGAAGAGGUAGAGGAACUCUGAGCCCCAGCCUCUGGGCACACUCACGGUGGCAUUCCCGCUACCAUUUCAGUGACAUCAGUGUCACUCACGCAGGGAUGAUGUACAGUGGCCAGGACACCUCGUGUUUCGAGGCUCCAAGGGGAGAAGAUGUUGAGAAGGUUUUGGUUCUGUCUCCUUCUUUGCUCUUAAAGUAAACAAACAAACAAACAAAUAAUCAACCCGUUUGGUAUUUUUAAGAGGAGAGGAAGAGGAUCACUUGGAUUAGCUAGUCCUGACCUACUCCACAGGAGGCAGGAUGUGCAUUAGGGUUGCCGGAAUCUAGGGGAAAGGUACAAGGAGAAGAGGAGGAAGAGAAAGAGGCAAAAAUAUGAUUGCCUCAUAUUCUCCCAGGAUCCGUGAGAAGUGGAAAUGGACGACAAGAUCAACGUGGCCCGCAGGUUUUCUGUUUGAGUGAGCCAAGGUGCUCAGGUCACAGAUUUGAGAACAUGGAAAAUAGGAAAGUAUGGGGGGAAAAGAAGGGCUUGGACAAUCAUCCUUGAGCAUGUAGGGUGUCAUUUCCACCAGCUUUGAAUUCAGCCAUAUAGGUGACAUCACAGCGUCAUGCUACCCCCCUGGGGCAAAGCACUCUCUUCAUUUGUGCAAAUUUUGAAAAGGAGAAGAAAACUGGAUUAAAGUUCAAAGAGACCUUGCGUUAGAGGUCUCCUGAAUGGAGUGGAGAUAUUUCAAGGGAUGAUUAGCUAUUUUCCCUUUUAGAGUUUCUUCCUCUUCCUGGAAUUAAUAUCUAAUGUAUUGACACCAAGGGACACAUCUCACUGUCCCUAUAAAAAGUCCUCAGUGUCCGUGCCUCUGCAUACAUCCUCAGUCUGCUAACCAUAGACUAACAUCUUCUGACACAGCGGCCAUCUUGACAGCUAUUAGAGUAAUCAGUUAUUCCUCCUGGGUUGGCAACUCGAAGGAACUUGUAGUCCCCACCAAGGGACAACAAAGGGAGGUGGCUCGUGGGGUUUAAGCUGCUAGAAUCCACAUAAACCUGGGUGUGGUGAUGCAUGGCUCUAAUCCCUAUUUACAGCCACUUAUCCUGUGGUGAGCCCUGUCUCAAACAAGGCAGAAAAUGGUGGCUGACACCAGAGGUUGUCCUCUGAUCUCCACACACACUUAUCAUGGCAUGCACGAACACACACACACACACACACACACACACACGGGGGGGGGGGGGAGAGAGAGGGAGAGAGAAAGAGAGAGAGGGAGAGGGGGAGAGGAGAAGGAAGGGAGAGAGAGAUUUUUAAGGGAUGAUCAUCCAAAUUGGGAUCAGAAUUCUGGUAGCAUGGGGGCUCCACAUAGUGUCAGGACCAGCACCCUAGCACUGAGACCUCUCAUCACCGUGUCUGAGGGAUUUAGUCCUCGGUUACACAAGUUCUUGUGAACUUUUCUUUAGGAUUUAGACAAGUGAUUCCAGAUCCUUCAGUGGUUGGGAGAGCCUGUUUCUCAUUCCUAAACAAAGGCACUAGGUUAGAAGAAAGGAAUUAAGAGUUUACUUAGUUUUUAUUCCUGAGGACAUAUUUCUUGAUUUCAGCUUUAGAAGUAAGGAGAAACUAAACUUAGAGAACUCUUAUCUCAAUCAGAGUGUUUGAGAGUCGGGGCUGUGUCUGAGGGGUGGUGGGGUGGGCACAGUAAGCGGUUGCUGAGGACUGGAAGUGGAUCCAACUGGGCUCCCUGGAGCAUCCCCAUUGUGCGUGACCUUGGCUGGAGUCUCAAUCCAUAACGUUCACUCUUAACUUGUUUGUUAUAUGGGAAAGUUUGUUUUAUAACAGGUCUAGGUGGGUGAGUAACACUGCACUUGAUGCAUGCCAGAUAGUUGUAUAAUUCUAUGGCUCUUUGCCAACUUUUGCCUGCAGCUUAAGAUAGCAAAGUUAAGACACUCCUUCUAAGGGUUUUACAAACGUAUAAAUGCAAAGUCAGGUGGGCUGUGGUCGUAGUUCUGCCUUAAACCUCUAACGAAAUCCUUAUUCAUUCGCUGCAAAGGAAAUAAAAAUUUACGGCGGUAGGAGAGCUGAAAGAUCAGCUGCCAGGAAAAUGCCUUGUUCAGUUCUUUGACAAAUCUGAUGAAACGCUUUCUGAGCAGGAAAACUGACAGAACAAAUAAUCCUUUCAGUCCACAGUUGAAUGAGAGCAAAUAUUUGCAUACCGUCCCCUGAACACAGAAUCUUCUCCUAGGUCCCCUUUAAAGACCGAGCGUGGGGAAUGAUCUUUCUACAACCUUCCAUACACAAGCAAGUAAUUAAUUAUUAGGCGACCCAUCACCUCUUCAUGGCUUGGAGGGUGCCUGGCAAUGGGAGAAAGAUGGAAAGGACAUUGAAACUUAGGGCUGGUCAUGCCUGUAGCAGGAAUCUCUCUCUUCAGGAAGGCAACCCAACCUUUUGAGGGAUUGAGAAAUAAAUUGAUGGAGAAGUGCCUCUAAAAAGGCUGACUCAACUUCCCCUAGCAAGCCAAGCGCUGUACUCAGAGAGAGGGUUCAUAUGCCUUUCCCCCAUCUACAAUGGAACGGUCACACACUUAGUCUGUUUUUAUAAUUUUAAAAAAUGUACUUUUAAUUUUUCAUAUAAUUUGCUUGUUCCCCAACUUCUCACACAUACACCCCCUUCCUACGUACUCAACUUCACUGUUUUGUUCGCUCCCCAAAAUACUAAUGAAAAAGAGAAAUCCCACUCACACAAACAAACAUAGCACAUAAAGAAACAGAGAGACCCUUUUAUGGUGGCCAAUGACUCCUGACAGUGAGACCUGCUCGGAAGUCAUUAGUUGACAUCCAGUUCCACUCCCCUUUCCCCAGCAGGCAUCAGUUCCAAAUAGCUUCAUGGUUGGGGGUGGAAAUGGCUUUAUGUCCACUUCCUCUUAUGUAUGCUGGAGUAUUCUCUGGUUCAGCCUUGUGCAUCUCUUGUACAUGCUGUCCCGGUCUCUGUGAGCUCAUAGAUACAUCAGCUCUAUUGUGUCUGGAAGAUGCUCUUUCCUUGGGGUCACCCACCACCUCAGACCUCUUACAGUCUCUCUACUUCCUCCUCUGCAUAGAGCCCUGAUCCUUGAGGGAAGGGCUUUGAUAAAGACAUCUCAUUUAGGGCCAAGUAUUCCAAAGCCUUUCAGUCUCUGCAUCCAGUUGUGUGUCUCUGUGCUAAUUUCCAUCUACUGAAAAAGAAAGCUUCUCUGACGAGGGUUGGGCAAUGCACUGAUCUAUGGGCAUAGCAAUACGUCAUUAAGAGUUGUUUUAUUGCUAUGUCCACUUAGAAGAAUAAUAGUUGUAGGUUUUCUAUUAAGGCCUAUGACCUACCUAGUCUAUGUUCUUGGCUUCUUUAACAGUGACAUGUGGGUUCUAUCUUAUAGAAUGGGCCGUAAAUCCAACAAAACAUGGUUGGUUGUUCCCAUAACAGUUGUGCCACCCUUGUACCUGUAUAUCAUGGAGGCACUAAUGUAGGUUACAUGGCAAUAUUGAGGAUUACCUUUCUCCUCC